AAAGAAAAUGAAAAAAAAAAAUCUCACUAAAUUUAACUCUUGAAAAUUAUUGCAAACCCCUGAUUCUUCUCACUCUCAAAAUGCUGUCUUAAAAACUGCUGCUUACGUCAUGCGCAAAUUUGUACUAAUAUUACGGCUACUGAUCAUUUACAAUCUUGGAGUUUACUUGCUUGAUUUAAGUUUAAAAUUGAAGUUUCUUAAUGAUAUUCUGUUUUAUUCUUCCAAGUUUAAGAUGUUUCCCUUUAGUUGAUAUAAAAAAGAAAGGAGAAUAUCUGACGAGGAAGUAAUUUGUUUUAAUGAGGAUUGUUUCGCUAAUUCCUUCAUGUUAAAUAUGUUGUAUAUUCACUGGUGGUUAUUAUACCUAUAAUAUCAUUUGUUUAUGUAUUAGCGAAAUAGUUGAUUUAAUUAUGGUGUAUCUGUUUUGUAUUAUUCACUAAUGGUUAUUAUACAGAUAAUAUUUUUAUAUAACAAAAUACCUAAUAUAAUUAUGGAAUGUCUGAUUUGUACUAAUACACUUGUCAUAUACUAAUUGUUAUGAUAAUCAUAAUACUUAUUUGCUGUUGUGUGUUAAAAAAAUAUGUUUGGAGCUUCUACAUUCAUUAAACGAUUUCUUUUAAAAAAA